rnacentral:rRNA from 1 species
UUAAUGAGGCGAACCGGAGGAACUGAAACAUCUAAGUACCCCGAGGAAAAGAAAUCAACCGAGAUUCCCCCAGUAGCGGCGAGCGAACGGGGAGGAGCCCAGAGCCUGAAUCAGCAUGUGUGUUAGUGGAAGCGUCUGGAAAGGCGCGCGAUACAGGGUGACAGCCCCGUACACAAAAGCGCAUGUGCUGUGAGCUCGAUGAGUAGGGCGGGACACGUGGUAUCCUGUCUGAAUAUGGGGGGACCAUCCUCCAAGGCUAAAUACUCCUGACUGACCGAUAGUGAACCAGUACCGUGAGGGAAAGGCGAAAAGAACCCCGGCGAGGGGAGUGAAAAAGAACCUGAAACCGUGUACGUACAAGCAGUGGGAGCACAGGUUUACCUGUGUGACUGCGUACCUUUUGUAUAAUGGGUCAGCGACUUAUAUUCUGUAGCAAGGUUAACCGUAUAGGGGAGCCGGAGGGAAACCGAGUCUUAACCGGGCGUUAAGUUGCAGGGUAUAGACCCGAAACCCGGUGAUCUAGCCAUGGGCAGGUUGAAGGUUGGGUAACACUAACUGGAGGACCGAACCGACUAAUGUUGAAAAAUUAGCGGAUGACCUGUGGCUGGGGGUGAAAGGCCAAUCAAACCGGGAGAUAGCUGGUUCUCCCCGAAAGCUAUUUAGGUAGCGCCUCGUGAAUUCAUCUCCGGGGGUAGAGCACUGUUUCGGCUAGGGGGCCAUCCCGGCUUACCAACCCGAUGCAAACUGCGAAUACCGGAGAAUGUUAUCACGGGAGACACACGGCGGGUGCUAACGUCCGUCGUGAAGAGGGAAACAACCCAGACCGCCAGCUAAGGUCCCAAAGUCAUGGUUAAGUGGGAAACGAUGUGGGAAGGCCCAGACAGCCAGGAUGUUGGCUUAGAAGCAGCCAUCAUUUAAAGAAAGCGUAAUAGCUCACUGGUCGAGUCGGCCUGCGCGGAAGAUGUAACGGGGCUAAACCAUGCACCGAAGCUGCGGCAGCGACACUCAGGUGUUGUUGGGUAGGGGAGCGUUCUGUAAGCCUGUGAAGGUGGCCUGUGAGGGUUGCUGGAGGUAUCAGAAGUGCGAAUGCUGACAUAAGUAACGAUAAAGCGGGUGAAAAGCCCGCUCGCCGGAAGACCAAGGGUUCCUGUCCAACGUUAAUCGGGGCAGGGUGAGUCGACCCCUAAGGCGAGGCCGAAAGGCGUAGUCGAUGGGAAACGGGUUAAUAUUCCCGUACU